rnacentral:rRNA from 1 species
AUACGGAGGGUGCAAGCGUUACUCGGAAUCACUGGGCGUAAAGCGCGCGCAGGCGGUCUUUUAAGUUGGAUGUGAAAGCCUACGGCUCAACCGUAGAACUGCAUCCAAAACUAUUAGACUAGAGUGUGGGAGAGGAAGAUGGAAUUAGUUGUGUAGGGGUAAAAUCCGUAGAGAUAACUAGGAAUACCAAAAGCGAAGGCAAUCUUCUGGAACACUACUGACGCCGAGGCGCGAAAGCGUGGGGAGCAAACAGGAUUAGAAACCCCUUGUAGUCC